rnacentral:misc_RNA from 1 species
GUAGGUGAACCUGCGGAAGGAUCAUUACAAAUCAAAGGGGGAGAUAGAGCGAGAGCUCGAUCUCUCUGUAAGCACAGCCGUCGAAAGGCGGUUGAUGUUGACGCUUGUUCAGUUUGACAUAGUAACCAUAUUUUUAAUUGUAUACAACUUUUAACAAUGGAUCUCUUGGCUCUU